CAGAAACUACAAAGGAAUUGACGGACCCCGCACAAGCGGUGGAUCAUGUUGUUAAUUCGAUGAUACGCGAAGAACCUUACCAGGUCUUGACAUCCCCCGCGAUGCUUUAGAGAUAAAGCGGAGGUAUUCGGGGAGACAGGUGGUGCAUGGUUGUCGUCAGCUCGUGUCGUGAGAUGUUGGGUUAAGUCCCGCAACGAGCGCAACCCCUAUUGCUAGUUACCAUCAUUAAGUUGGGGACUCUAGCGAGACUGCCAGUGAUAAACUGGAGGAAGGUGGGGAUGACGUCAAAUCAUCAUGCCCCUUAUGACCUGGGCUACAAACGUGAUACAAUGGCUGGAACAAAGGGAUGCGAAGCAGUGAUGUGGAGCGAAACCCAUAAAAACAGUCUCAGUUCGGAUUGAAGUCUGCAACUCGACUUCAUGAAGUCGGAAUCGCUAGUAAUCGCAGAUCAGAACGCCGCGGUGAAUACGUUCUCGGGGUUU
rnacentral:rRNA from 1 species